UACCGGAAUCUAUUUUUAAUUAGCAUAAUUUGCGCCUCAUUAGGUUUUUUCAAGAGACUUCUCACAGACCCUAAUCUCAAACUAUCCAUCUUCCCUCAUAGUCUCAGAGGCAAAGUUCAAGAUUUCCCAACAUGCUGCUACUCAACAAUUAACAGUUUCCAAACUCCUCAUCCAUCAUUCUCGCAUGACGGUUCUGGAAACUCAACUCGACAGUGUGAUUUUAUACCGCAAACCCUAAUUCUAAGAGCUGAUUCUGGAAUAGUACUCGGUUUUCAAGAUUUUGUUUUUGGAGGAUUCGCCACUGAAUCCGAUGUGGACGACGUCGUUGUGAUCGGAGGAUACGCGGCGGCAGCAAUUAACGCCGCUCAAAACAUCCUGUAUUGAGAAACGGGGGUGUCGUUGGUGCUACUUGCCACCAUGCCGGCUGUAUCCCUUCUAAGGAUAGGAGCAUCUUCAUUCUUCUCAUGAAACCCAAGACUAAGUUUGCAAAUCAUGGCAUAAAGUGUGAGAGUGCAAAGAUGAAUCUCGCUGCCAUGAUGGCCCAUAAGCACAAAGUCGUCUUUAAGAUAACAAAAGGCGUUGAAUCCCUUUUCAAGAAGAAUAAGGUUAGCCAUGUCAAAGACGACUGGUAUAAUUUUAUUUUUUGCUUAAUUUUAAUUUUGUUAUUCAUUUUUAUUCUUACCCACUCCCCUUUAUUGAUGUUUGUGUGUGAUAGUAAUCAAAAUAUUGUAAGAAAAUUACAAAAUCAACUUCAAUUUCAGUGUGCAAAAAAUAUUGUAAGAAAAUUACAAAAUUAACUUAAAUUUUAGUGUGCGAACCGUUGUUAUUUGUUGGUAAUAUCAAUAUCAAUUCAACGGUUAUCGGCACAAUUCGCUAAUUUAUCAGGUUAUAAUUUGAUAUUAGUUUCUUAGUGGAUUAAAUCUCUUUGUCUUUUGUAUGUCAUAUCGUUUACGUCGUUAGUGUCCAAAUUAAAAUGGUUUUUGUUUAGAUGUUAAUGUUCUGAAACUAUAUCUUCUCCGAUCCGUCUGUCUUUCAUUGGAUAUAGAAAUUUAUUAGUUUCAACUCAGUUUUUUACCCAUUUGAUUGCCAGGUUUUUUUAUCAUUUAUAACAUACCACAGAAUUAUAAAACUUAGUUUUGAUAGACGGAUUGAAUGGGUAACAGUUAUUUCCAAUAGACGUGUCAAAUGGGUAAAAGUGUGUCGUUAAUUCAUCUUGGUCAAAGAAAUAAUUGAAACAUUAUUUCGUUUUUGAAAAUUUGGAUGGAAGUCUCUGGUCAACCCAAAUUUAGCUUAAAAUUGCCUGUCUAUUCACUUCUGCGACUAACCAUCACUUAAAGGGUGUUCCAGGUUUGCUUAAAGCGUUUCUGGGUUUUGUGAGUCACAGAUAACGAAAGGCAUGUUUUGGGAUUAGAAUGGAGUGUUGAAGAAAGACAAUUAAACAUGUAUUGUUGGCUUUUGUUAUGAUGUGAUUGAAAAAUGUAAGGUAUGGUGUGUGCGCUUCUAGAAAUUGUAACCAAUAAGCAUAUUUAAUUAAACACACGCCCAUGGUAUACAAGGUAUAUGAACUCUUAAAAUGGUGUCUAUUCAUGAGGAUUGAGAACGUUGAUGUAUAAGGCCACCAUGUGAUGAUGUUCAAAUUGAAGGCAUUACUAAUCCUUAAGAAUUCAGAAAGGUUAUUAUGUGUACUUGACUGAUAAUUACUAUUAUAUAAUUAUAUAUUUAUGUUGAUGUUCAUUGCAUUUCUAAUCUUUGAUUCAAACUUAAAUGUUAAAUAGUUAUUAGAACUUUGAUUAUUAUUAUGUUUGUCUGGUUAUCUAAACUUUGACACAUGUUUUUGAUUUAUUUAAAGUAUAGGUUGGGAUACAAACCAGUUUUAUUAUGGAUGUUAAUGAAGCCGCUUUGGUUAUGUUUGGUGUUAUCAGAAAUAUUGGUAAUGAUGCCCAUUAUAGGUUGAGUCCUCUUUGGAGAGAUAAUAAAACUACCAUUUUGUAAGCAAUCAUGGUGUCUACUCAUGUUUUGCCAAUGGCAAAUCUACUUGAGAGAGUUUAUGUAAUUUUUCAAUUUUUGAAUAUAUGUUCUGCAGUUAAUAUUACUGUUUUUUCAUA